UGGGUGUGGAGAGAGCAGAGUGCCUGAAGAAUGGCUUCUCUGUGUAUAACACAUCCAACAGCAACUUGGGCUUACUCCUCAUGGGUGGCAGAAUACUAUGGCCUUCUGUGACAGUCUGCCCUAUACAU